UUCCUGAUGGCUCAGUGGUAAAAGCGUCUGCCUGCCGGGGCAGGAGACCCAGGUUUGAUCCCUGGCUGGGGAA
rnacentral:tRNA from 1 species